ACCACCUUAAAAAUAAUCCCAUCAGAUCUAAACACGGGUCUGAGUGGUUAUAAAGGGAGACAAGUGAAAUUGAGACUGAUGUCCAUUCUUUGUGACACACACUUGUUUAAAAACGAA
rnacentral:snoRNA from 1 species